rnacentral:rRNA from 1 species
GACGAACGCUGGCGGCGUGCUUAACACAUGCAAGUCGAACGGAAAGGCCCUGCUUUUGUGGGGUGCUCGAGUGGCGAACGGGUGAGUAGCACGUGAGUAACCUGCCCUUGACUUUGGGAUAACUUCAGGAAACUGGGGCUAAUACCGGAUAGGAGCUCCUGCUGCAUGGUGGGGGUUGGAAAGUUUCGGCGGUUGGGGAUGGACUCGCGGCUUAUCAGCUUGUUGGUGGGGUAGUGGCUUACCAAGGCUUUGACGGGUAGCCGGCCUGAGAGGGUGACCGGCCACAUUGGGACUGAGAUACGGCCCAGACUCCUACGGGAGGCAGCAGUGGGGAAUAUUGCACAAUGGGCGGAAGCCUGAUGCAGCAACGCCGCGUGCGGGAUGACGGCCUUCGGGUUGUAAACCGCUUUAGCCUGUGACGAAGCGUGAGUGACGGUAAUGGGUAAAGAAGCACCGGCUAACUACGUG